UUGGAGAGCCAGAUGGUUGACAAAGCUG
rnacentral:piRNA from 1 species